GGGGGCGACAUGGCUUUCGACGUGGGUCGCAAAACCCGAGGUGCAUGCCGAGGUGCGGGUUACCUCGUAAAUCCAUCCGCAAAUUUAUAGUUGCCAACGACGACAACUACGCUCUCGCUGCUUAACCCAGCGGGCCUCUGACCGUCUCUUGCCUAUGGGCGGCGGAUUCCAGGGGUAAAAUCACAUGGGAUCGCGGUGACGGGAGUCCGGACCUAAUCCGCUAAAACCUAACGGAAUCGCCGACUGAUCGCCCUGCCCUUCGGGCGGCGGAAGGUUAAAAAUAAUUGAGUGGGCUAAGCAUGUAGUAUCCAACGGCAGAGGGCUUGCGGACGCGGGUUCGAUUCCCGCCGCCUCCACCA
rnacentral:tmRNA from 1 species